rnacentral:rRNA from 1 species
UUUAAAACGAGGAACCCUUUCCCGAAUUUUGACAUCCCUGAGACAAACUGUGUAAAGCAGUCCUUUUGGGACAGAGGUGACAGGUGGUGCAUGGUUGUCGUCAGCUCGUGUCGUGAGAUGUUGGGUUAAGUCCCGCAACGAGCGCAACCCUUGUCUUUAGUAGCCAGCGUUUAGGAUGGGCACUCUAGGGAGACUGCCAGGGAUAACCUGGAGGAAGGUGGGGAUGACGUCAAAUCAUCAUGCCCCUUAUGACUUGGGCUACACACGUGCUACAAUGGCGUAAACAAAGGGAAGCGACCCUGUGAAGGCGAGCAAAUCCCAAAAAUAACGUCUCAGUUCGGAUUGUAGUCUGCAACUCGACUACAUGAAGCUGGAAUCGCUAGUAAUCGCGAAUCAGAAUU